rnacentral:rRNA from 1 species
AUUGAACGCUGGCGGCAGGCCUAACACAUGCAAGUCGAGCGGAGCGGCGGCCGGGUGCGUAAUGCCUGGGAAUCUGCCUGGUAGUGGGGGAUAACGUCCGGAACCGGGCGCUAAUACCGCAUACUAUCAGAUGAGCCUCGGUCGGAUUAGCUAGUUGGUGGGGUAACGGCCUACCAAGGCGACGCUCCGUAACUGGUCUGAGAGGAUGAUCAGUCACACUGGAACGGAGACACGGUCCAGACUCCUACGUGAGGCAGCAGUGGGGAAUAUUGGACAAUGGGCGAAAGCCUGAUGCAGCCAUGCCGCGUGUGUGAAGAAGGUCUUCGGAUUGUAAAGCACUUUAAGUUGAGAGGCGUUACCAACAGAAUAAGCACCGGCUAACUUCGUGCCAGCAGCCGCGGUAAUUC